CAUAAUUAUAAAGUAUAUAGUGAUUUAAAAGAUCCAUUUUUAAAGAAAUUCAUAAAAAAAGAAGUCUUUGAGUUCAAAAUUACUAUUAGAAAACAUGUAUCGCAAAACUAGGUUUUUGUGUAGAAAUAUCGUAUUUUCAUAAAGUUCCCUGCACUUUGGACAAUUUUAAAUUUUAUAUUCGAAUUCAGCAGAUCCAAAAACAUAAAAAUAUACCAAAUUCACAGGUUCCCCGUUAUAAGCCAAUUUUGGCCCUAAAGUGCCAUCUUUGAUUUGCGAUACUGCAAGUUUUUUUUCUGCUAGAUUUUGUUGUUUUAUAUUAAAACAUUAAGAAAGCUUGUCAAAUUGAUUAAAUUUAAAUAGUUUAAUAAGAGUAACUGUGGUUGUUGGUGUGUGAUAUUAUAAAAGUUUUAUUAUUUUAACAUAAAAGCUUUGGACGUUUUGACUCAGCUUUGAGUCAUCUUCAGCUCCAAUGUUUACUUUCUUGAACGCUGUUACAUAAAUGCUUUUAGGUAAAAUGCUUCCUGGCUGGACAAUUUUCAUCUGGUUAGUACGCCAGUGACUAUUUUCCCUAUAGAAAGAUUAAUUUACAGCUACCAGAGGAGUCUGCACAUUGUGUGCAAAAACGAAUCACAUUAUUUUAUUUAAAUUAUAAGAAUUAUUUAACAUAACUUGUAACAAUCAUCUACGUAGUGACUUGUCAAUUUGAAGGACCAAACUGUAAUCCUUUGAAGGAUUACAAUUAAAUAGUUCUCAUCAUAAAAAAAAA